GUGAAAGUCCUUCGGGACGAGUAAAGUGGCGCACGGGUGAGUAACGCGUGGAUAAUCUACCCUUAAGAUGGGGAUAACGGCUGGAAACGGUCGCUAAUACCGAAUACGCUCCCGAUUUUAUCGUUGGGGGGAAAGAUGGCCUCUGCUUGCAAGCUAUCGCUUAAGGAUGAGUCCGCGUCCCAUUAGCUAGUUGGCGGGGUAACGGCCCACCAAGGCGACGAUGGGUAGCCGGUCUGAGAGGAUGACCGGCCACACUGGAACUGGAACACGGUCCAGACUCCUACGGGAGGCAGCAGUGGGGAAUAUUGCGCAAUGGGCGAAAGCCUGACGCAGCGACGCCGCGUGAGGGAUGAAGGUUCUCGGAUCGUAAACCUCUGUCAGGGGGGAAGAAACCCCCUCGUGUGAAUAAUGCGAGGGCUUGACGGUACCCCCAAAGGAAGCACCGGCUAACUCCGUGCCAGCAGCCGCGGUAAUACGGAGGGUGCAAGCGUUAAUCGGAAUCACUGGGCGUAAAGCGCACGUAGGCGGCUUGGUAAGUCAGGGGUGAAAUCCCACAGCCCAACUGUGGAACUGCCUUUGAUACUGCCAGGCUUGAGUACCGGAGAGGGUGGCGGAAUUCCAGGUGUAGGAGUGAAAUCCGUAGAUAUCUGGAGGAACACCGGUGGCGAAGGCGGCCACCUGGACGGUAACUGACGCUGAGGUGCGAAAGCGUGGGUAGCAAACAGGAUUAGAUACCCUGGUAGUCCACGCUGUAAACGAUGGG
rnacentral:rRNA from 1 species